rnacentral:rRNA from 1 species
UACGGAGGGGGUUAGCGUUGUUCGGAAUUACUGGGCGUAAAGCGCACGCAGGCGGUUUGUUAAGCAAGAUGUGAAAGCCCCGGGCUCAACCUGGGAACUGCAUUUUGAACUGGCAGACUAGAGUCUUGGAGAGGGGGUGAAUUCCAGGUGUAGCGGUGAAAUGCGUAGAGAUCUGGAGGAACAUCAGUGGCGAAGGCGGCCCCCUGGCCAAAGACUGACGCUCAUGUGCGAAAGUGUGGGUAGCGAACAGGAUUAGAUACCCGUGUAGUCC